CAUCCACGGCCAUGGGACUCUG
rnacentral:rRNA from 1 species